CCUACGGGAGGCAGCAGUGGGGAAUUUUGGACAAUGGGCGAAAGCCUGAUCCAGCAAUGCCGCGUGUGGGAAGAAGGCCUUCGGGUUGUAAACCACUUUUGUACGGAACGAAACGGUUCGCUUUAAUACAGUGGGCUAAUGACGGUACCGUAAGAAUAAGCACCGGCUAACUACGUGCCAGCAGCCGCGGUAAUACGUAGGGUGCGAGCGUUAAUCGGAAUUACUGGGCGUAAAGCGUGCGCAGGCGGUUAUAUAAGACAGUUGUGAAAUCCCCGGGCUCAACCUGGGAAUUGCAUCUGUGACUGUAUAGCUAGAGUACGGUAGAGGGGGAUGGAAUUCCGCGUGUAGCAGUGAAAUGCGUAGAUAUGCGGAGGAACACCGAUGGCGAAGGCAAUCCCCUGGACCUGUACUGACGCUCAUGCACGAAAGCGUGGGGAGCAAACAGGAUUAGAUACCCUGGUAGUCCACGCCCUAAACGAUGUCAACUGGUUGUUGGGUGCAUUAGUACUCAGUAACGAAGCUAACGCGUGAAGUUGACCGCCCGGGGAGUACGGCCGCAGGUUGAAACUCAAAGAAUUGAGCNGNGNGNGCGAGGACGACGACGAGGGAGAGG
rnacentral:rRNA from 1 species